UACACACGUGCUACAAUGGACAAUACAAAGGGCAGCGAAACCGCGAGGUCAAGCAAAUCCCAUAAAGUUGUUUUCAGUUCGGAUUGUAGUCUGCAACUCGACUACAUGAAGCUGGAAUCGCUAGUAAUCGUAGAUCAGCAUGCUACGGUGAAUACGUUCCCGGGUCUUGUACACACCGCCCGUCACACCACGAGAGUUUGUAACACCCGAAGCCGGUGGAGUAACCAUUUGGA
rnacentral:rRNA from 1 species